rnacentral:telomerase_RNA from 1 species
AAUUCGGGUUCAUGAGGUGGGCACGCAAGUAUCUCGAAGGUACCUACUUGAUGCCUGUGGAUACCUAACCCAGACUUUUGGCGGUCAUUACCAUCAUUUUAUGCUAUCUGCAUUCAACCUUUAUAAAUCUGGUUUUCGACGACCCUAGUUCCAGAUUUUAAAAAUAAAAAAAAAUACAGCAGUCCUGCUGUAUAAGGGGGUCUCUCAUGAACCUUUU